rnacentral:rRNA from 1 species
UUGAAAGGGAAACGAUUGAAGUCAGUCGUACCUGCGGACAAUCAGCCUUUCGGGUGCGAUUAUGUGGAGCGUGGGGAGCUAAACACCUUCAUGCCUGCGUAUUUGUAUUCUGGGGUGUACUUGGACGUGCGGUAGGUUAACAUCAAUUUCGGACGUCAUAAAAUGGCUGGAGGAAUGUAGCUUCGGUCUCGUACUGAAGUGUUAUAGCCUUUGGUAGAUGUGAUGACCGGGAUUUAGGAUUGCAACGAAUACCUUUUGGGCUAUCCGUCUGAUCUCUGAAAGUUGCUCUGGUGCCGAAAGCUUGCUUACGGUUAUCAAAGUUGACGUUCAAAAGGUUAGAACGGGUUAAAUUCGUUAAGGAUGUUGACGUA